UACGUAGGGUGCAGGCGUUAAUCGGAAUUACUGGGCGUAAAGCGUGCGCAGGCGGUCUCUUAAGACAGGUGUGAAAUCCCCGGGCUCAACCCGGGAACUGCGUCCGAUACUGGAAGGCUUGAAUCCGGGAGAGGGAGGCGGAAUUCCAGGUGUAGCGGUGAAAUGCGUAGAUAUCUGGAGGAACACCGGCGGCGAAGGCGGCAUCCUGGACCGGAAUUGACGCUGAGGCGCGAAAGCCAGGGGAGCAAACGGG
rnacentral:rRNA from 1 species